UUUAAGUUUUACUUAUAAGGAUUUAAAAUUUGAUUAUGGUUUAGGUAGUGUUAUAAUGAUGUUAUCUGUUUUGGAUUCAUUGAAUGGGCAAUAAUUUUUUACCCUGGCAUUUUGUCGUUUGUAUAAAUUUUGUUCCAGAAUAAUCGGCUAGACUUUAUAAACUUGAACUCUAAUUGAUGUUAGUUUAGGGUUUUGUAAAUAUAUCUUGUUUUUUAGGGUGAAAUCGGGAAUUUUUAUUGAUAAUGCUCUAAUCUUUAAGAUUUGGUGAAUGAAUCAGAUUAGUACCUGAUUAAACAAAAAUUAAAAGAGCAGGAGUAAAGUUGUAUUUAAACUGUAAGAAUAUUGGCAGGUUUUUAAAUUAUCUUUGGAGGUUGAGUAGUAAUUGAGAGCCCUCAUUAACAACUUUUACUGUAGGCGCAUGUAUGAUCGUUUAUUUUAUUCUUAAGGAUUGUAAUUUUAGAUUAACUAUUUUCUGUAAAAAUAGAUAAAUACUUGGUAUAUGUAAAAGAUUUAAUUUGACCUACAAUAUGCUAUCUUGUGGAUACUUUUUUAGUAGAAGGUUGAAAAUGUAAAAGACAGUAAGUUUUUUUUUAUAUAAAGCUGAAGUUUAUUUAAAAACGGUACAAAUCAUCCAUCAAUUGCCUUCAGGGGAGUAAGUUGUAGUAAAGUAGAGUUAGGGGAACCUGGCUCUAGUAAUUA
rnacentral:ncRNA from 1 species